rnacentral:tRNA from 1 species
CUUUAGUAAGUAUUUUUUGUACAUUUGCCUUCCAAGCAAAAAGACUAAGUAAAAUUAGACUAAAGA